rnacentral:rRNA from 1 species
UCGUAACAAGGUUUCCGUAGGUGAACCUGCGGAAGGAUCAUUACCAAAUUACCUGCACCACGUGGGUGCUCAAAUGCGCCUCUUGAUCUUGAUCUUGGUGCCCAUCGCUCCCCACCGCAAGUGGGUGAGAUGGGGGGUGCCCUUUUCAAGAUGUCCUAUGCUACAUACACAAACUUGUCAUUGUAUGGUGUUGAACAUAUAACAUAACUUUCAACAACGGAUCUCUUGGCUCUCGCAUCGAUGAAGAACGCAGCGAAAUGCGAUAAGUAAUGUGAAUUGCGGAAUUCAGUGAAUCAUCGAAUCUUUGAACGCAUCUUGCGCUCCUUGGUAUUCCGAGGAGCAUGCCUGUUUGAGCGUCGUUGAAUUCUCAGAACCCUAUGAGGGCUGUGUCCUUCAUGCGGGGUAUGGAUUGUGGAGGAUGCAAUGCUGUCCUACUCUCAAAGAGAGGGGUGACCUUUGCUUCUCUGAAAUGUACUGGCACUGCCAUCGGUAUGAUACGCUUGUCUAUACCGUGCAGCCAGGUGCAGAGACUCUCUCAUGAUUUGACCUCAAAUCAGGCAGGACUACCCGCUGAACUUA